GACGAACGCUGGCGGCGUGCUUAACACAUGCAAGUCGAACGGAAAGGCCCUGCUUUUGUGGGGUGCUCGAGUGGCGAACGGGUGAGUAACACGUGAGUAACCUGCCCUUGACUUUGGGAUAACUUCAGGAAACUGGGGCUAAUACCGGAUAGGAGCUCCUGCUGCAUGGUGGGGGUUGGAAAGUUUCGGCGGUUGGGGAUGGACUCGCGGCUUAUCAGCUUGUUGGUGGGGUAGUGGCUUACCAAGGCUUUGACGGGUAGCCGGCCUGAGAGGGUGACCGGCCACAUUGGGACUGAGAUACGGCCCAGACUCCUACGGGAGGCAGCAGUGGGGAAUAUUGCACAAUGGGCGGAAGCCUGAUGCAGCAACGCCGCGUGUGGGAUGACGGCCUUCGGGUUGUAAACCGCUUUCGCCUGUGACGAAGCGUGAGUGACAGUAAUGGGUAAAGAAGCACCGGCUAACUACGUG
rnacentral:rRNA from 1 species